AGAGUUUGAUCCUGGCUCAGGACGAACGCUGGCGGCGUGCUUAACACAUGCAAGUCGAACGGGGCUCAUCGCUUCGGUGGUGGGUUCAGUGGCGAACGGGUGAGUAACACGUGGGCAACCUGCCCCCGGCUCUGGGAUAACUCCAAGAAAUUGGGGCUAAUACCGGAUGUCCUCUGCUGGCCGCAUGGUUGGUGGUGGAAAGGGUUUCCGGCUGGGGAUGGGCCCGCGGCCUAUCAGCUUGUUGGUGGGGUAGUGGCCUACCAAGGCGACGACGGGUAGCCGGCCUGAGAGGGUGACCGGCCACACUGGGACUGAGACACGGCCCAGACUCCUACGGGAGGCAGCAGUGGGGAAUAUUGCGCAAUGGGCGGAAGCCUGACGCAGCGACGCCGCGUGGGGGAUGACGGCCUUCGGGUUGUAAACCUCUUUCAGCAGGGACGAAGCCGGAAGGUGACGGUACCUGCAGAAGAAGCACCGGCCAACUACGUGCCAGCAGCCGCGGUAAUACGUAGGGUGCAAGCGUUGUCCGGAAUUAUUGGGCGUAAAGAGCUCGUAGGCGGUUCGUCGCGUCGGCUGUGAAAACCCGGAGCUCAACUCCGGGCCUGCAGUCGAUACGGGCGGACUGGAGUUCGGCAGGGGAGACUGGAAUUCCUGGUGUAGCGGUGAAAUGCGCAGAUAUCAGGAGGAACACCGGUGGCGAAGGCGGGUCUCUGGGCCGAUACUGACGCUGAGGAGCGAAAGCGUGGGGAGCGAACAGGAUUAGAUACCCUAGUAGUCC
rnacentral:rRNA from 1 species